GGCCUCAGUUUUCUCAGGAAAGAUCUGGACUAGAUGAGCUCUGAGGUCCUGAUGGUUAAAAUUCCACGGCUCAAGGAUUAUUCUUUUUGCUGUUAUUAAGAUGGAGUUGUCGAGAGGAGAACUGAGUCAUCGUUGCAGCAAGAAGAAACCAGGCCACGCCUUUAACACUUUGUUUGGAAAUCUCCUCAGCUAAAUUCCAAGCUCAUCACUUACAACUUCUACUUUCCACCCAACGCUAGAACCAAAUUCAGAGAGGAAGACUGAGCACUUUAGUGUCUAAGCUCCUGUUAUAACAGGGUCUAUCCACCACUGCAUGCUGGAGUGAACAACAUAACAGUGAGAGAGAGAACUGCUACCUACCGUGCAGGUGCUGCGGCAGGAUACCAUUCUGCAUUCCAGAGUAAUAUACCAAUUUGAAUUAUGAGCUCAACCUUGGGACUCUAACACUUCCAAAGAAGACCUCUGAUAGCCUAUAUUAGUCAGGUUUCUCCAAAGGAACAGCUACAAUAGGAUGUGUAGACAGCUAGAAAGAGAUUUAUUUUAAGGAACUGGCUCAUGCAAUUAGGAAGGCUGGCCAGUCCAAAAUCUGC
rnacentral:lncRNA from 1 species